rnacentral:rRNA from 1 species
CCUACGGGUGGCUGCAGUGGGGAAUAUUGGACAAUGGGGGCAACCCUGAUCCAGCCAUGCUGCGUGUGUGAAGAAGGCCCUCGGGUUGUAAAGCACUUUCAGUGAGGAAGAACGCCUGGUGGUUAAUACCCAUCAGGAAAGACAUCACUCACAGAAGAAGCACCGGCUAACUCCGUGCCAGCAGCCGCGGUAAUACGGAGGGUGCGAGCGUUAAUCGGAAUUACUGGGCGUAAAGCGCGCGUAGGUGGCUUGAUAAGCCGGUUGUGAAAGCCCCGGGCUCAACCUGGGAACGGCAUCCGGAACUGUCAAGCUAGAGUGCAGGAGAGGAAGGUAGAAUUCCCGGUGUAGCGGUGAAAUGCGUAGAGAUCGGGAGGAAUACCAGUGGCGAAGGCGGCCUUCUGGACUGACACUGACACUGAGGUGCGAAAGCGUGGGUAGCAAACAGGAUUAGAUACCCGUGUAGUC